GACGAACGCUGGCGGCGUGCUUAACACAUGCAAGUCGAACGAAGUGGCGAACGGGUGAGUAACGCGUAAUCAACCUGCCCUUCAGAGGGGGACAACAGUUGGAAACGACUGCUAAUACCGCAUACUGAAGGAGGUGAGUGCGUCUGAUUAGCUAGUUGGAGGGGUAACGGGCCACCAAGGCGAUGAUCAGUAGCCGGUCUGAUAGGCUAAACGGCCACAGUGAGACUGAGAUGCGGCCCAGGGUCGUACGGGAGGCGGCAGUGGGGGAUAUUGGACAAAGGGCGAAAGACUGAUGCAGCGACGCGGCGGGGGGGAUGAGGGCUUUCGGGUUGUAAACCUCGUUCGCUAGCGAACGGGUAGGUGGAGAAGAAGCGCCGGCUAACUACGUGCCAGCAGCCGCGGUAAUAC
rnacentral:rRNA from 1 species